UGACGGAGCAACGCCGCGUGAGUGAUGAAGGUUUUCGGAUCGUAAAACUCUGUUGUCAGGGAAGAACAAGUGCCGGAGUAACUGCCGGCGCCUUGACGGUACCUGACCAGAAAGCCACGGCUAACUACGUGCCAGCAGCCGCGGUAAUACGUAGGUGGCAAGCGUUGUCCGGAAUUAUUGGGCGUAAAGCGCGCGCAGGCGGUUUCUUAAGUCUGAUGUGAAAGCCCCCGGCUCAACCGGGGAGGGUCAUUGGAAACUGGGAAACUUGAGUGCAGAAGAGGAGAGUGGAAUUCCACGUGUAGCGGUGAAAUGCGUAGAGAUGUGGAGGAACACCAGUGGCGAAGGCGACUCUCUGGUCUGUAACUGACGCUGAGGCGCGAAAGCGUGGGGAGCGAACAGGAUUAGAUACCCUGGUAGUCCACGCCGUAAACGAUGAGUGCUAAGUGUUAGAGGGUUUCCGCCCUUUAGUGCUGCAGCUAACGCAUUAAGCACUCCGCCUGGGGAGUACGGUCGCAAGACUGAAACUCAAAGGAAUUGACGGGGGCCCGCACAAGCGGUGGAGCAUGUGGUUUAAUUCGAAGCAACGCGAAGAACCUUACCAGGUCUUGACAUCCUUUGCCACUUCUAGAGAUAGAAGGUUCCCCUUCGGGGGACAAAGUGACAGGUGGUGCAUGGUUGUCGUCAGCUCGUGUCGUGAGAUGUUGGGUUAAGUCCCGCAACGAGCGCAACCCUUGAUCUUAGUUGCCAGCAUUCAGUUGGGCACUCUAAGGUGACUGCCGGUGACAAACCGGAGGAAGGUGGGGAUGACGUCAAAUCAUCAUGCCCCUUAUGACCUGGGCUACACACGUGCUACAAUGGAUGGUACAAAGGGCUGCGAGACCGCGAGGUUUAGCCAAUCCCAUAAAACCAUUCUCAGUUCGGAUUGCAGGCUGCAACUCGCCUGCAUGAAGCUGGAAUCGCUAGUAAUCGCGGAUCAGCAUGCCGCGGUGAAUACGUUCCCGGGCCUUGUACACACCGCCCGUCACACCACGAGAGUUUGCACACCCGAA
rnacentral:rRNA from 1 species